UCAACACACAUCAGUGAUAAUUCUCAUAAUUAACCCAAACAAACAACAUAGUUGAGAAAAGCAAAGAUGGGCCCUAAAAUAUUGGUUACUAUUCUCAUUAUUGUCUCUCUCUUUGGUCUCAACCAGUGUGUUGAUCGCCAGCAUCCGAUCGGGAUGGAAAGAUGCUUCCACAAGUUUAUGGGAGGCGGCGCUCCAUUUGAACUCGAGUUCUUAUGUUGUGUCGAAGAUCCUUCCAAUUGUUUCCCUGAAUUCGAAACUGAAAAUUGUAUCAAAUGUCCACCCCUACGCAAAGGUGAAGCACCAGGUCCUCUAUAAAUGCUCAUUUGAUGGACCAUGUUCUUUUGAUGUCAUUAGUUAAUGAUCCUUGUAUUUUGCAAAUCAUUUGACAUUUUUAAAUAAAGAGGAUGUUAAGUAAACAAGAAA